AUCACUGUAAGCAACGCAGAGAGAGCCGUGUGUGUGUGUGUGAAUAACAUGUAGCCCCUCGCCCCGUGACGUUAAUCAAUGGAGGACGCCGGUUGACAACCCGGUACUCAUUAGAUGGAUCAGGCCUACUGGCUCAUCGAGUAAAAAAGGUGAUUCAGGCAGAUCGAGCCCCUUGAAGUUUCCACGCUUCUCUACAUCCUCCCCUCCUCCCGACAGAAGCUGCACUCCAGGCCUCCGCCCUUCCUUUGUUCGGAUCCCUGACGAAGAUGGGAGCAACAGGACGGGCAGAAAGACGUGGACCUGGCGUAUCAGUUGCCCCCCCCCUCCCUCCCUAAUCAGGCUCGAGUGCUCCUGGCGAGAUGCACUCGGGCCUUGGCCCUUCAGCAGGGAGAGACUGGAGGUCACCGCAGCCCAGGAGCUAUAAACAGCUCGUAGGGCCGACGAGGACAAAACGGCCCUCUAGGAGUUAUCAGUGGAGUUCUCAUUGCUGGCCGAACUCGAGGACUGAGGAGUCGAGGAAGAUGAGGAGGCGGAAGAAGAGGAAGAGGAGGUAAAGUUCAUCCCUGAUAGAUCUGGAGGGUUCGUUGCCGUGUUCUGUCCACACAAGCUUUUCCUGCACACUGGACACGUGUCAUGCUGGAGAGAAAGAGAGAGAGGUAAAAAUAAAAGGUGCCUUUUGUUUUGGACUUUAAGUAGGGGGAGCAUUAGGAUGUUGAAUACCUGUUCCAGCCAGGGGACUAUGCAAUCAUUGUGGAACAUGUGAUUGCACGGGAGCUGCCUCACGUUUUCUCCGACGCUGUAAUCUUCUUUACACACUGGACAUUCCAGUCCUGAAGCUGAAAGACAGAGCCGGUUAGAAACGGGAGAGGAAAUAUUAAGCACGAUCCGUCAAGCUGUGAGGGUUAUAACUAGUUCAAUUACAUUAUGAACCAUCAAUGUUAUUUAGAAAUUCAGUCAUAAAUAGGCACAGUAAAGUUUCAAGUGAGACGGGAUACUGAAUAUGAUCUGAUGUAUAAUCCGAAUAUGAAAAAGAUGUCUUCUACCAAUUCUCAGACAAUGAUUUUAAUAUGACUAAAGAUGCAUCUUGUAGUCGAUUAUCAAAUAAGUGCACUGUUUGAGUUAUGUGUCAGUAGCAUAUGUUUUAUUACACAAUUAUGCAUUUGAGCGCUCGUGAAUUAUUAACAACUUGAGUCUCUGGUGAGAUGCUUCAAAAGAAACAUUCAUGUUAAAAACUAAAGCCCAAUACUUGCAUUCAAUUUUAACUUGCAAUAUGACAGCAUGCAAGCAUCCCUUUUAAAAGAAAUCUAUACCGCUGUCCAAAUUUGCAAAAAAUAAAAACAUAAAACAUUCAGUUACACUUUAUUAUGUUUUAACUUACCAACGUGCUCCUCUGUAAUUUGUACUGUAGGAAGAGUUUUUAUUUUAUCCCUAUCGGCGGGCGGAGGUCCCGUGUUCUCAAACUGGUUUAAUAGCUAAAUACGAGAGAAGAAGAUAGAAAAGAAAUGCAUGUUUGGAUACAUAUACUGCAUAUGUUAUGACACAACUAAAACGUUUAACGGAUUUAAAUUACAACCAACAUUAUUGAAUAAGCACAGCAAUCACUUUAAAAAAAGGUUUAAUUUUAAAAUACCUGAGUUAUAAUUGCAUCUAGUCCAUUAGCCCCCCAGGCAUAAUCCAUAGGAUUUGAGUGAAGAACACCCCUUUAAGAAAAAAAGUCAAACAUUAGAGCAACCGAGACAGAUGAAGACUUAUUUUCUGGUUAAAUAUAAAGUGGGUUUCAGACACUCACCAGGGUCCAACACCAAUAUUUGGCAUUGCAGUGGGUGCAAUUAUUCCAUUCACUAGUUGCUGGAUGAUUCUAUAAAAAGAGAAGAUACAGAUUUGUUGAUAGAGAAAUGAGAAAUAUGUGAAAGAACUGCACCGCUACUAAAGGAUAACAUGUCUUGUUCAACCUGGACCCUAUAUGCCCAUGUUUUUGUAUCGAAGUAACCAAUUUAUUUCUCCAGUUUUGAGCAGCCGCGACACAGCCACCGACAGGCUCAGAUUGUUAUUAUUAUUAUUAUAAGUGUAUGACAGUGUAUGGAAAGGACCCUCCAGAGAAAUAAAAAAGGCAUUCUUA